rnacentral:rRNA from 1 species
CCUACGGGUGGCAGCAGUGGGGAAUAUUGGACAAUGGGCGAAAGCCUGAUCCAGCCAUGCCGCGUGUGUGAAGAAGGCCUUCGGGUUGUAAAGCACUUUCAGUGGGGAAGAAAGCCUUGGGGCUAAUACCCUCGAGGAAGGACAUCACCCACAGAAGAAGCACCGGCUAACUCCGUGCCAGCAGCCGGGUAAUACGGAGGGUGCGAGCGUUAAUCGGAAUUACUGGGCGUAAAGCGCGCGUAGGCGGUCUGAUAAGCCGGUUGGGAAAGCCCCGGGCUCAACCUGGGAACGGCAUCCGGAACUGUCAGGCUAGAGUGCAGGAGAGGAAGGUAGAAUUCCCGGUGUAGCGGUGAAAUGCGUAGAGAUCGGGAGGAAUACCAGUGGCGAAGGCGGCCUUCUGGACUGACACUGACGCUGAGGUGCGAAAGCGUGGGUAGCAAACAGGAUUAGAUACCCGUGUAGUC